UGGGGAAUAUUGCGCAAUGGGGGCAACCCUGACGCAGCAACGCCGCGUGCGGGACGACGGCCUUCGGGUUGUAAACCGCUUUCAGCAGGGAAGAUAGUGACGGUACCUGCACAAGAAGCCCCGGCUAACUACGUGCCAGCAGCCGCGGUAAUACGUAGGGGGCGAGCGUUAUCCGGAUUUACUGGGCGUAAAGGGCGUGUAGGCGGCUAGAUAAGUGUGAUGUUUAAAUCCAAGGCUUAACCUUGGGGUUCAUUACAAACUGUUUAGCUUGAGUGCUGGAGAGGAUAGUGGAAUUCCUAGUGUAGCGGUAAAAUGCGUAGAUAUUAGGAGGAACACCGGUGGCGAAGGCGGCUAUCUGGACAGUAACUGACGCUGAGGCGCGAAAGCGUGGGGAGCAAACAGG
rnacentral:rRNA from 1 species